GACGAACGCUGGCGGCGUGCUUAACACAUGCAAGUCGAACGGAAAGGCCCUGCUUUUGUGGGGUGCUCGAGUGGCGAACGGGUGAGUAACACGUGAGUAACCUGCCCUUGACUUUGGGAUAACUUCAGGAAACUGGGGUUAAUACCGGAUAGGAGCUCCUGCUGCAUGGUGGGGGUUGGAAAGUUUCGGCGGUUGGGGAUGGACUCGCGGCUUAUCAGCUUGUUGGUGGGGUAGUGGCUUACCAAGGCUUUGACGGGUAGCCGGCCUGAGAGGGUGACCGGCCACAUUGGGACUGAGAUACGGCCCAGACUCCUACGGGAGGCAGCAGGGGGGAAUAUUGCACAAUGGGCGGAAGCCUGAUGCAGCAACGCCGCGUGCGGGAUGACGGCCUUCGGGUUGUAAACCGCUUUCGCCUGUGACGAAGCGUGAGUGACGGUAAUGGGUAAAGAAGCACCGGCUAACUACGUG
rnacentral:rRNA from 1 species